rnacentral:rRNA from 1 species
CGGCACGGGUGAGUAACACGUAUCCAACCUGCCGUCUACUCUUGGCCAGCCUUCUGAAAGGAAGAUUAAUCCAGGAUGGCAUCAUGAGUUCACAUGUCCGCAUGAUUAAAGGUAUUUUCCGGUAGACGAUGGGGAUGCGUUCCAUUAGAUAGUAGGCGGGGUAACGGCCCACCUAGUCAACGAUGGAUAGGGGUUCAGAGAGGAAGGUCCCCCACAUUGGAACUGAGACACGGUCCAA